rnacentral:rRNA from 1 species
GCCUUGCUAUAAAAUAUUUAUUUACAACCAAAACGCCCGGGAAUUACGAGCCAAGCUUAAAACCCAAAGGACUUGACGGUGUCCUAUCCACCUAGAGGAGCCUGUUCUAUAAUCGAUACUCCACGCUACACCCCACCAUUUCUUGCUAAUCAGCCUGUAUACCUCCGUCGUAAGCUUACCAUAUGAAUGUCCUUCAGUAAGCUCAACUGGGUCUUUUCACCAACACGUCAGGUCAAGGUGCAGCUUAUGAAACGGGAAGCAAUGGGCUACAAUUUCUAACUUAGAACACACCAAACGCUGUAUGAAACGCAGCUACAAAGGCGGAUUUAGUAGUAAAAAGAAAAUAACAUAUUCUUUUUAACCCGGCACUAGGACGUGUACACACCGCCCGUCACCCUCUUCAACAACACACAUUUUUUAUUAUUAAUACACUAUUAAUAAAUUAGAAGAGGUAAGUCGUAACAUGGUAAGGGUACUGGAAAGUGCACUUGGAAUAACAAAAUAUAGCUUAA